rnacentral:lncRNA from 1 species
CUUUUACCCUUAAACAGACACAGAUUUGUGGAUUGAUGACAGCAUCCCUCUGACAAGCUGAGGUACAGGAAGACUUGCUGAAAGCCAAGUGGAGUUCAGCUGGUUGAAGACAUCUCAUUAUCUGCCUGGCUUGCACGUCUGCAUUUGAACUGGCCCUAUACAACCACUUUGAGCUAAGCCUCUGCUGCUUGUCCUGGCUGCACGUCUGGGACAGGUCAAUCCACAGUCUUGGUGAGCUUUGCUUUCUUCAAGAACCAGACAGAAUUCAAAGCAAAUAGCUUGGCACAGGCACCUUGUUUUCAGGUGAGCAAGGUCUGACUGCUGCAGCAUCUCAGUGGGGCUAGGAGGCUUUGUACUUCACCUCAGGCACUUAACUAAUUCCUCAUAGAGUGCAGUAUGUUCUGAAGUGUGAUCUUUAUGUCUCAGUUGUCUAUAAAAUGAAAAUGCUAGUUCAUCCUGAGAAGGGUUACAGUGCCUCUCACACACACAAGAAAGGCAGGUGAAGUUCUUUCACUGUCUCUAAAGCUCUGAGCUCUGAGUCAUCCAGAGCCUCUGAGGACUCUGGUUGAAAUUUUAAGGGUACCUCAUUAUGGCUGAAUCUCCAGCACUGUCUGCAGUCACACACCAAAGUAUUCAUCUCACAAAAGACAAAUGUUGAGAAAUUAAGGGAACAAAAGAGUGCAAUCAGCUGCACUGAAGACCUGAGGAGCUGAAUGUGAUGGGAACUGGAUUCCAAAACUGGCUGGAAAGUGCAGGAGGACAAACCCUGAAGGGAAACAUUCCAAAACCAGUGGGAU